rnacentral:lncRNA from 1 species
ACCGUCAACCGUGAGGGUAUCGGACAGUUCGGAACAGUCUAUACAACACUGUAAAAAUACCCUCGGUAUUCCAGCACGAGCGUAAAUUUAUUUUACACUAUUCUGGAUAUCCACCGCAUACAAACUGCAACGAUACAAACAAACUACAGUUCCUAAAGAUAAAUCUGAUAGUUUUCAGAAAAUGACAGUGUAGAAUCUAAAUAUUUUCUCCUAAAUCAAAUCCAAAUCCAACAUGUAUAAUUUAUAUAAACCAAUAACUAAGCUCCAAAUUCAGGUUUCAAAAAACAUGCAAAU